GAAUAAACACACAUAAUUGUGUGGCUACAAAGAGAGGCAAAUGGAAGAUGUCGCGUUGCAGUGACAGAAAAUAUUUUGUCUGUUACAGUGCUGCCGAUGAGGAACCGCAAUGGAUCUUGAAGCCGCUCUGUUGCAACUGCUGCAACAAGAAAUGACUGAGCGAGGCCUGAGUGACGGCGUCCAGAGGAGACGGGGGACGCAGCCUGAUGGACGAGGAGGAAAGUCGUCGCCUCAAAUAAUGACUUCGGCGAUUAUUCACUUGAUGAAAUGUUUCUCAUGACUUCACCAGAGAGAAAAAUCACAAUAUUUAUCAACACGCUAACAUAUUUCCACAUCAGAAUUAUGUUUUUCAUGGGGUUUUAAUUUGAUUUUUGUUUCUUUUGGUUUGGUUCGGGUCUGGAAGGUGGAGGAGUUGCUUUUUUCUUCAUUCAUGUUUUAGCAGUUUGACAAACUUUUGAUGUGUUUUGUUUCUGGGCAUUUUAGGAUAGAACCAUAUUAUACUUUUCAGUUUUAGAAAUAUAUCGAUUUUGGAUGCAAGUC